rnacentral:sRNA from 1 species
GUCUUUGUUAUUUCCAUAUAUUUCAUUAUUAGAAGGAA